CCUACGGGAGGCAGCAGUGAGGAAUAUUGGUCAAUGGGCGGGAGCCUGAACCAGCCAAGUCGCGUGAGGGAAGACGGUCCUAUGGAUUGUAAACCUCUUUAGGCGGGGAGCAAUGCCGGGCACGCGUGCCCGGAGGGAGAGUACCCGCAGAAUAAGCAUCGGCUAACUCCGUGCCAGCAGCCGCGGUAAUACGGAGGAUGCGAGCGGUAUCCGGAUUUAUUGGGUUUAAAGGGUGCGUAGGCGGAUUUUUAAGUCAGCGGUAAAAUGUCCGGGCUGAACCCGGGCCGGCCGUUGAAACUGGGGAGCUUGAGUGGGCGAGAAGUAUGCGGAAUGCGUGGUGUAGCGGUGAAAUGCAUAGAUAUCACGCAGAACUCCGAUUGCGAAGGCAGCAUACCGGCGCCCGACUGACGCUGAGGCACGAAAGCGUGGGGAUCGAACAGGAUUAGAUACCCGGGUAGUC
rnacentral:rRNA from 1 species